rnacentral:rRNA from 1 species
GAUCAUGGCUCAGAUUGAACGCUGGCGGCAGGCCUAACACAUGCAAGUCGAGCGGCAUCGGGAAGGUAGCUUGCUAUCUUUGCCGGCGAGCGGCGGACGGGUGAGUAAAGUCUGGGGAUCUGCCUGAUGGAGGGGGAUAACUACUGGAAACGGUAGCUAAUACCGCAUGAUGUUACGCGACCAAAGCGGGGGACCUCCGGGCCUCGCGCCAUCAGAUGAACCCAGAUGGGAUUAGCUAGUAGGAGAGGUAAUGGCUCCCCUAGGCGACGAUCCCUAGCUGGUCUGAGAGGAUAACCAGCCACACUGGAACUGAGAGACGGUCCAGACUCCUACGGGAGGCAGCAGUGGGGAAUAUUGCACAAUGGGCGCAAGCCUGA